AUGUUGGUUUGGAAUGUACGGGGGUUGAACAAUCCUGCUCGGCGUAGCUCUGUUCGCUUGUUUAUGCAGACUUGUGAUGUUUCAUUGGUGUGUUUCCAAGAAUCUAAGUUGAAUAUGGUGGAUACUGCGGUGGUCUCCCAGACUUUGGGUCCUAGUUUUGAUGGUUUUGAUGCCUUACCGGCGGAUAGCACU
rnacentral:rRNA from 1 species